AUUCAAACAAAAACAAAUAUAGAUAUAAUAAAUCAUAACUUUUUUCUUUUUUUAAUGAGAAAUGCAAUAUUAAUACAGCUUAAAAGAUAUAGGUUUUAGUAUUAUGUUAUCACUUAUCUAUUUUUGUUAUCCAUUGUAUACAUGCUCUACCCAUACACACGCCCUAACCAUAAUUACUGAAUUUAGUAAUUAUUGCUAUGACCUAUUCAUUUAUUUCAUAUUUAUGUAUACAACAUCAAGCCAUAUUUGUACAUAGUACGUUUUGAAAUUAAGUUUAGUAGUGUUUUUAACAGGAAAGACAGUUUCAGUAAUUUAUUGCAAUAUAGUUAAUUUAUGAAGAAGAAAUUUAUGUUCAGAGAAAUUUAUGUUCAACUAGUUCUGGAAUGAUUUAUACAAUUCAGUAUUAGAUAACAAAUAAAAUAAAAAUUUGGCAUUGCAUACUUAUUAAAAGCAAUUAAAACAUCAAAGAGGAUGUUGGAACCUCAACCACAUCCAUAAACAAACCCAUAUGUAGGAUAAUACAUCGUGUUGAGCUAAAUAUUUAAAAGAAAAAUUUAAAGCAAGUUUUUACAAUCGACUGAUACUAGCUAUCACUUUUUUUAAACAUAGGUUAUGGAAAAAUUAAUAUUACACAAACUGGUAAAAUCAUGAUUCAAUGUUCAUCCUUUCACUGUGUAUCACGCCCAUGAUUUAACAUUUGAUUGUACAAAAAGCUAUGUGCAUUUCUGCAUCAUAUACAUUAUUAUACAAAUAAUGAACUAAUAAAUUUUCAUCACACUAUA